AGAUCCAGAUGAUAAGAAGUGUGUGGUGAAGUUAUUGGAUCACUUUAAGCAUUCCGGGCCCAAUGGCCAGCAUGUUUGUAUGGUAUUCGAAUACUUGGGAGAUAAUCUUUUGACACUUAUCAAGUAUUCAGACUACCGAGGGCUCCCUAUCCACAAAGUUAAAGAGAUAUGCUUUCAUGUUUUGGUGGGUUUGGAUUAUUUACAUCGCAAACUUUCCAUCAUACACACAGACUUGAAGCCAGAAAAUGUGUUGCUUCUAUCAAUGAUUGAUCCAGCUAAAGAUCAUACAAAGUCGGGGACUCCUAUCAUUCUUCCCUCCAAUAAAAGUAAGAUUGUCUCUGAAUCUGGGGCUUCUAAAGCUGUGAAGAGUUUAAAUGGUGACCUGACCAAGAACCAGAAAAAGAAAAUUCGAAAAAAGGCUAAGCGGGUAGCUCAAAAGUGUGCCGACAAGGAAGCUUCUGAGGAGACUGAACCACAUAAUGAAACUACUGGUCCUGAAGACUCUGCUCGUGAUGAAAAACCUGAAGCGAAAUCAGUUGAUGAACAAACUAGUAUUGAAGCCAGUGGAGAUGUCUCAACAAAGGAAGGGCACCAAAAAAUUCAGAGACAUAAGCGAGGCAGCCGCUCUGAUAGGCAGAAGCUAUUGGCUGACGUUGACCUUAAGUGCAAAUUAGUUGACUUUGGUAAUGCAUGUUGGACGUAUAAACAAUUUACAAGUGAUAUCCA
rnacentral:misc_RNA from 1 species